AGGAUCAUUAUUGAAAUAAAACUCAGGCAGGGGGGGAGUGUGGUUGUAGCUGGCCCCCCUUAUAAGGGCAUGUGCACACUGUCUCUUUCUCUUGCUUGUUUUUUCAUUUUUUCCACUUGUGCACUGCUUGUAGGCAGCCUGGCAUUGUUCGGGUUGUCUAUGAUUUUAUUUUACAUACAUGAAUCAUUGUUGUACAGAAUGUGAUAACAAAGAAUAAUACAACUUUCAACAACGGAUCUCUUGGCUCUCGCAUCGAUGAAGAACGCAGCGAAAUGCGAUAAGUAAUGUGAAUUGCAGAAUUCAGUGAAUCAUCGAAUCUUUGAACGCAUCUUGCGCUCCUUGGUAUUCCGAGGAGCAUGCCUGUUUGAGUGUCAUUAAAUUCUGUCAAAACAUGCAUUUGAGUGUGUUUUGGAUUGUGGGAGUGUUUGCUGGCUUUAUAUGAGUCAGCUCUCCUGAAAGACAUUAGCUUUGGAGGGAUGUGCCAAGUCACUUCUGUCUUUCCAUUGGUGUGAUAGAUGAAUAAAACUUAUCUACGCCAGGAAAGCAGGUUGCAGGUGAUGCACUGUGAUCUCUCUGCUCUCUAAUUGACAUUUGUCUGAUAACUUGACCUCAAAUCAGGUAGGACUACCCGCUGAACUUAAGCAUAUCAAUAAGCGGAGGAAAAGAAACUAACAAGGAUUCCCCUAGUAACUGCGAGUGAAGAGGGAAGAGCUCAAAUUUGAAAUCUGGCAGUGUUUUGCUGUCCGAGUUGUAAUCUAGAGAAGUGCUGCCCGUGCUGGACCAUGUACAAGUCUCCUGGAAUGGAGCGUCACAGAGGGUGAGAAUCCCGUCUUUGACAUGGACUGCCAGUGCAUUUGUGGUGUGCUCUCAAAGAGUCGAGUUGUUUGGGAAUGCAGCUCUAAAUGGGUGGUAAACUCCAUCUAAAGCUAAAUAUUGGCGAGAGACCGAUAGCGAACAAGUACCGUGAGGGAAAGAUGAAAAGAACUUUGGAAAGAGAGUUAAACAGUAUGUGAAAUUGUUGAAAGGGAAACGCUUAAAGUCAGUCGUGUCGGCCAGGGAUCAACUCAGUAUUAUCUGCUGGGUGUACUUCCUGAUCUGAUGGGCCAACAUCAGUUUUGACUGCUGGAAAAGGAUAGAGGGAAUGUGGCACCUUUGGGUGUGUUAUAGCUCUCUGUCGGAUGCAGUGGUUGGGACUGAGGAAAGCAGCAUGCCGCAAGGCCGGGUCGUUCGACC
rnacentral:rRNA from 1 species